rnacentral:misc_RNA from 1 species
UUCGUCUCAAGAUGGUCGAACAGGUUGGCCUGGAUAAACUUAUAUGUAUAACUGAAAAUAUUAUCAUCUUUUUUGUUUGGAAAUGUGACAUUGAUGUUAUUAUUAGUUUAUUUAUUAGCGGUUAUUUGUUCUUAAUCCGAAUCCAAUCUUUUUUUUUAAUAAAAAAUUUGACUUUAAUGGUGUUUAUUUCUUUAUUUUUUUUGG